rnacentral:rRNA from 1 species
GACGAACGCUGGCGGCGUGCUUAACACAUGCAAGUCGAACGGAAAGGCCUGCUUUCCCUUGUGUAUUGCGGGUACUCGAGUGGCGAACGGGUGAGUAACACGUGAGUUAUCUUCCCCCAACUUGUGUAUAAGCCUGGGAUACUGUGUCUAAUUCCCGAUAGUACUGCAGGGUGGUGCCUGUGGUGGAAAACGAUUUUCUUGUGGUUGGGGAUGAGCUCGCGGCCUAUCAGCUUGUUGGUGGGGUAAUGGCCUACCAAGGCGUCGACGGGUAGCCGGACUGAGAGGGUGGACAGCCGAAUUGGGACUGAGACAAGGCCCAGACUGGUACGGGAGGCAGCAGUGGGGAAUAUUGCACAAUGGGCGGAAGCCUGAUGCAGCGACGCCGCGUGGGGGAUGACGGCCUUCGGGUUGUAAACUCCUUUCGACCGAGAGGAAGCGACCUGGUUGGAAGGGUGGUGACGGUAGUGGUAGAAGAAGCACCGGCUAACUACGUG